rnacentral:rRNA from 1 species
UACAGAGGUGGCAAGCGUUGUUCGGAAUUACUGGGCGUAAAGGGCGCGUAGGCGGGCUGUCCAGUCUGGGGUGAAAUCCCGCGGCUCAACCGUGGAACUGCCUCAGAUACUGACGGCCUCGAGGGAGAUAGGGGCAUGCGGAACUGUAGGUGGAGCGGUGAAAUGCGUUGAUAUCUACAGGAACGCCGGUGGCGAAGGCGGCGUGCUGGAUCUCUUCUGACGCUGAGGCGCGAAAGCUAGGGGAGCAAACGGG